rnacentral:misc_RNA from 1 species
GAAAUGCGAUAAGUAAUGUGAAUUGCAGAAUUCAGUGAAUCAUCGAAUCUUUGAACGCACCUUUCGCUCCUUGGUAUUCCUUGGAUCAUGCCUGUUUGAGUAUCAUGAAAUCUUCAAAGUAAAUCUUUUGUUAACUCAAUUGGUUUCUACUUUGGUAUUGGAGGUCUUUGCAGCUUCACACCUGCUCCUCUUUGUUCAUUAGCUGGAUCUCAGUGUUAUGCUUGGUUCCACUCGGCGUGAUAAGUUAUCUAUCGCUGAGGACACUGUAAAAGGUGGCCAAGGUAAAUGCAGAUGAACCGCUUCUAAUAGUCCAUUGACUUGGACAAUACUUUUAUGAUCUGAUCUCAAAUCAGGUAGGACUACCCGCUGAACUUAAGC